rnacentral:rRNA from 1 species
CCUACGGGAGGCAGCAGUGAGGAAUAUUGGUCAAUGGGCGCGAGCCUGAACCAGCCAAGUCGCGUGAAGGAUGACGGCCCUACGGGUUGUAAACUUCUUUUAUAAAGGAAUAAAGUGAGGCACGUGUGCCUUUUUGUAUGUACUUUAUGAAUAAGGAUCGGCUAACUCCGUGCCAGCAGCCGCGGUAAUACGGAGGAUCCGAGCGUUAUCCGGAUUUAUUGGGUUUAAAGGGAGCGUAGGUGGGUUUUUAAGUCAGUGGUGAAAGUUUGUGGCUCAACCGUAGAAUUGCCAUUGAAACUGGGAGUCUUGAGUAUAGUUGAGGUAGGCGGAAUGCGUGGUGUAGCGGUGAAAUGCUUAGAUAUCACGAAGAACUCCGAUUGCGAAGGUAGCUUACCAAGCCGCGACUGACACUGAUGCACGAAAGUGUGGGGAUCAAACAGGAUUAGAUACCCGAGUAGUC